CCACCCUGAAGGCUUUCCUCCUGGUGGAAAUCUUAAAGGACCAGCUUUACUUCAACAAUACUGACACUGAUUGAAGACUACGUUCACAAAGGCUGAACAUCUUACAGAUAACUUCACCAGAGCAACAUUUAUACAUUUUUCUUUGCAUCUUGGAGAACCUGCCACAGAUCUUCUAGAGACUAUGACUCAUAAUUGCUUCUGUUUCUGCAGGAUUGAUUAGACCAGUGUGUUGGUUUACCUUAAAAUACCAGAAAAUGUAAUGGAUACAGGGACAACCUUUUAUAGCCGAGGUGGGAAUGAUAAAAAUUCUCUGCAAGUAAGUGGAUCAUUUUUGUGCCCUUUGUUUUAGUGACUAUAUUAGGUGAAUACAAUCCAUAUUAUAGUUUACCUUUCUAAGCUAGUAGAAAAUUUGGUUACGUAAAGCACUGAAAAUCAUCUUUUAGUGCAAUUUACAUCAGUGGUGGAGGUGAAUUAAUCAAUGUAUCAAUUAAUUAAUCA
ensembl:lncRNA